rnacentral:lncRNA from 1 species
GUUGGUGCAAAUAUAGAGAUAGGAGGGAAUCAAACAGCCUCUCUUAACCUCUCUCCUGUGCUCCUGCGAAAGCGUCCCUUCCAUUUGGCAACGUGCCCAGAGGAGUCUGCAGAGCUGCUAUUAAGGAAGGGUUGUGGAAGGAACUGGUCGAGGAAUGUUGCUACUUCUUCUACAUGAAGACCUUUGCUUCAUUUUGCUCCGAGUAGAAAACAAGAGCCUCUGCCUGACUGGUUGCACUGCACUCCUCCCUUUCCCUCCUUUGCCAAGAUGUGUCUGUAGGCAUGCUCCCCAAGUUAUUUUAAAGACAGGCUGGCACUAA